AAUUUGAGUUAAUUUCUUACUUUUCAUUCUGUUUUGGUGAUUUUAUGUUGUCCUAGUUAUUUUGGGGAAAGUUUUGCUGAGAUUUGUGGGAGUGUUGCUCUAUAAUGUUGGAUGAAGAAAGUGUACCAUAACUGAUCAACUAAACCAAACCAUGACGCCGAGCUUGGUGUUUUAAAUAGCAAAGGACACACCGCUGGUGUGUUCCAACAAUCCCAAACACACCCAGGGUGUGUUCCACAAGGAACAACAGAGUUAAAAAUUCAUGUUUCCCUCUGUGACAGCUUGUGGAGGUGUGGUUUUCUGUCCCAGCAAGAGCAGCUACAUUUUUUUAUUAUUUUUUUAUCUCCAGCAGUCCUAUUUCACUUAGGACUUCAAGGAAAGACUCCCAGCAGCUAUGGA
rnacentral:misc_RNA from 1 species